UGCCUCUACGCUUUAAUUAAGCCUGCUGCCCAAUUUUAACUCAUUAGUAAUUCAUUAAGAGAACAGCCCCGUGCUGGCUGGUGGAAGGCACCGCAGACCGACUGUGCACGAAGUCCACACGCGCGCAGACCGCCGCCGGCCCUCGCCUUGCGCGUGAGCGAGUCAGGUUUGCGACCCAGUGACGUUGUUCUAGUCCAACAAGACUAGAACCCCCGCUCUGCCAGACACACUGGGCUUUGCAGGUCCAAGCUCCCGGGAUAACCUUUCCCGGCUUGAGUCCCUCGGGCUUGAAACGUGGUUUAGCAAACCUGUUGGGUGGGGUGGCGGUGGUGUGGGGCCGGGCCACAGUUGAGAAGCAAAUCCCCGGGUUAAAAGAGCUUCUCUUGCCUAAGGCCAGAUCCAGUCGCCCGGUGUGGCACGUAUCCACCCUCCUUCCCUGGUUCUUCUUUCAUUUUGCGACAGUCUCAUGAAAAAUCUAAGUUCGGCCUUAGCUCUCAGCUCCGGCUACCCUCUGCACGCUCCCCGACCCUGUACCCGGGAGAAGCUUCUGUUCAAAUGAGACUGAUUUUUUGCGUGGUGGGGAGGUGAGGGGAGAAGAAAACUGUUGGCUAGAGAGGUGAAUAUCUGAAGGGAGAGCACAGACCUCUGCUUUUCCCUCUUUCUCACUCUUCUCCUCUGCUUGGGAGCGGGGCUGGGGUUAAGGCCACAUCUGUAACUAUGUCAGUUGAGACCAGCCCUCUGUCAGGAAAAGAAAUGGAGACAGCGUUGCAGAGCGAAUCACUCAUGGUCUUUCCAUUUCAUAAUCGAGGGAGACAGCGCAAGCAGGUCAGACUCGACCGGUUCGCUUCCUCCCACCCCUAACUUGGCGGGAUCUGAGAAGAAAGUUCCCGCAUGUUUGAGCGUCCUAGGGCUUGGAUAGGACAGACCUCGUAGGUCCCCAAGCUCCAGCUUGGAGUUCCCAAGGAGAAGGGAAGCGCUAGUGCUAUGGAGCGAGGUUUUGGUGAAGAAAAGGGCCUCGCGCCCCCUUAGUGCCGUCGCUCUGGGGAAUCUUCUUUCGCUGGGAGGAUGAAUGGGGCGCUCGCCGCGGCUCAUGGCGCCCCCUAGGAGCGGCAGGAAACUUCUCCUGCAGGGCAGCGCGGGCCGGGCUCCGCCUCCGGAAGGCGGGCGGGGAGGGUAGUUGCUGGGGGUCCCUAGGCCGGGCCCCAGGACAUCUAGGACAUGCCGGGGGCUGUUUGCUACGGCUUCAUCCCGGAGCUCCUGCUCGGGGUUGCCGGCUGCCUCUGCUGGCGUCCCUCUUCCCUUCCUUUGCGUAAGCGGCAACUCCUCCAGGAAGCCAGGGGAAGGACGGGAUUUCCUCUCCACGUAGGGUAGUAGAUCGCAUAGCCCAGCCGGAUCGCCCAGCAGGAGUGCAGGGCGCGCGUCGGGGUGUCUCCGGCUUGUGGGUGUGCGGUUCGAAACCUUAGCUGGGGUGGGGGAAGGGAUGUCUUUAACCUUCUGUCUACCGUCCCCCUCUUCCCUCUCUCAGCCUAGAGGCAGGGGAUGCUGCGGAAUCAGACUGGGUGCACCAAGGCGGAGGGCCAUGCCGGGCUUCGCCCUUCCUGGGUGUCCCGGAGUCCGUUCCGGAGAAACCCUGGCAUUGCCAGAACUGGGUCCCCGCACUCACUCCUCCAUAAUUCGCGGCGGAUCAGCGGGAGGAGGGCAGAGGGCGGGGGCGAGGCAGCUUCCUGGCGGGUGUGGCGCAAAGUGUGCGGGGUGUGGCGCAAAGUGCGCGGACCCGGGUCCUGGACCGAAGAUUUAGCCCAGGGUUUCGUGUGUGUUGCUCCCUGUUGCUUUCUACGGGGUCUGCGCUGGCCUCCUCCUCGGGCGACUGGGCCCUGAGGCAACAGCGCCUUCUCGAGCCCCGAGGAUUGACCGCCCCGAGCCUGCUUGGAGCAGGGCCUCUCUCCAGCGCGGUGUGAUGAAACACCAGCUGCUGUGAAGAUAUACCCUUAGAAACGAACCGUCUGUUAAUAUGCUUAUGAAAACAGGGGCUCAGAGAGGAUGUACUUUUCUCAAGACCACACAGCUGGAAAAAAACCAUUCUUCCAGGAGAGGCUCCUCCAAGCAAACUUCCCCUUACAUCUCUUACCAGAACUGGGUCACAUGCUCCCAUCUAAAACAACCACUGGCCAUUAGAAAUGGUGUUACCAUGCCUGUCUUGGACCAAUCACAUUUGAUCCUCUGAGGAUAGAGACAUGUUGCCACCUGAACAACUGUGGGGUGCUGUACUCCUGGCAAGCAGGGAGAAUGGCUGUGGCUAGGCAACUGACAGCAUCUACCACAAAUAUGUUACUCAGAAGAAGAAUCGAGGAUGGCCAUAAUUUUUAUUUAAAGAUUUCUAUUUUACAGAGGCAUAUCUGAUUAAGGGACAUUUAAACUUCCCUGUUAAACUUAUCAAGACAAAAAGACAAGGCAUCUUGCCACAUUUCUUAAAUAUUCUCUGCAGUCUCUCUUGACCUUUUCCCAGCUGUGCUGUAAACAUAAAGAUAAUAACAUAUCUGAAUAACAUUUUAUGGUGCACAGAUAAUUUUCACAUACAUUAUCCAUUUGACCCUCACCAUAACUGUGUGGGGUAGGUAAGGUACGAUUGUACUUUUCAUUAAUUUUUUUUUUUUUGAGACACAGUCUCGUUCUGUCACCCAGGCUAGAGUGCAGUGGUGCGAUCUGGGCUCACUGCAACCUCCACCUCCCAGGUUCAAGUGAUUCUCCUGCCUCAGCCUCCAAGUAGCUGGGAUUACAGGCAAGUGCCACCAUGCCUGGCUAGUUUUUGUAAUUUUUUAGUAGAGACAGGGUUUCACCAUGUUGGCCAGGCUGGUCUAGAACUCCUGACCUCAGGUGAUCCACGUGCCUCGGCCUCCCAAAGUGCUGGGGUUACAGGCAUGAGCCACUGCUCCUGGCCACUUUUCAUUAAUUUUUAUUGGACUUAGGAUUAGAAGGAUGAGCAAAUCCUACUACUUAGUGCGUGGAAUACUGGCAUCUAUUGUUUUUGCUUGGCUCCUCUCUUGUUUUAAUAAUUAACUAAUCGAUCCAUUCUCUUUUAUUGCCAUCUCCCACUCACACUUUUUCCUCCACAUAGGCAAUCAUUCUAAAUAUGUCCAAUGUUUAUCUUAUUUGUAUGCGUAUUUAUAAAGUGAAUAUUUUGUUUAGUGUGUAUGCAGUUUCGUUUGCAUAAAUUGUAAUAUUCUGUGAAUCUCAUUCUGUUUUGUACUUUUUUCAUUCUGCUCUGUUUUUAGAAGUGAUCCAUGUUGCUAUGUGUAUCUACUCCAUUGCCUUUAAAUGCUGCAUAAUACUCCACGGUGUUUGUCGAUCAUGUUUUACUCAUCUUUGCCCCCUAGUGGAAACCAUGAUGGCCUCCAACUCUGCACACAAAUAGUUUCAAACAAGAACCGCUGGUGAAAUGUGACUGCUGAUGGACCUGGGUGGGAAUUUCUCUGGGAUGCCGACUAAAAAGCAUGGUGGCUGGGUCAUAAAAUGCACACUUAAUUUGAAUAAGUGCCACCCAGUGGCUCUCCACAAAGCCUGCACUAGUCCAUUCUACUAGAAAUUAUUCACAUUUAACUGGAAACUGGGUCUUGGAGAUGUUAAGUAACUUGCUCAAGCUCACAUAAGGAGUAAAAGUGAAUUAGGACAUCCAGGACCCAAAUCCAGGCCUUGUAACUUCAGGUCAAUUUUAUUUUCCAGGGCACCACCCUCUAAGUCUCUGGAUCAUAAUAUGGAGCACUAAUAAAAAGAUUUCUUGAGGCUUUUGUUAUUUACAUAAUGAAUUUCAGAAAUGGCUUACUGGUGCUACUGGCAAGUUGCAGGCAGAAGAAAGAAUGAAAGCGAAUGGGCAUCUCAUGUUCUAUUCUCUGAUUCAACCUGUUUUGGGUCCCUUUUGACUGCUUUACCACAGUUGCUAUUACAUUAUUUUGGGAAGUAUUUAAAAAAGAAGAGAAAGUGCUGGAUAUCUGAACUCCUUUCCUCCAGUCUGCCAUGGGCCAAAAUGUAGUACCACCAUGCCUGACUAGAAAGUAAAAGAGGAAUCAUAGAAUCAGAUAGUGUUAUAACCAGAAUGGGCCUUACAGACCAUUUAGUCUAGUCCUCCCAUUUUAUAGAUGAGAAAAUGGAGGCCCAGAGAGAGGAAGACAGUUGCCUGAGGUCACACAGCUGGAAGGAGAGCAGGAUGGGCACCCAGGCUUUCUGAAAACCAGUCUCUUUGAUGCAGGUGAACCCCCACAUUGGGGCUCAGCUCAAGAGGGUUCUUAGCUUUGCUCAGGAAGGAAUUCAAGAGUGAGCUGACAGUUAAAGAAAGCAAGUUUUUAGAGCAAUAGUGUACAGCAAAAUGGCUGCUCCACAGACAGAGCAGGGCCAUCCCAUAGGCAGAGUAGCACUUGUGCAUUGCUGGCUAGCUCUAUUUAUAGCUGCUCCUAAUUAUAUGCUAAAUAAGCGGUGGGUUAUUCACAGAUUUUCUAGAAAAGGUGUGGGGAAUUUCCAGAACUGAUGGUUCCUUCCUCUUUAAACCAUGUAAGGUAACUUCUGGGUUUUGCCAUGACAUCAACUGUCAUGGUGCUGGUGGGAAGUGUUUUACAGCAUGCAAAUGUAUUAUAAUUCCUAGUCCUAACUGCUUUUGGCUGGUUCCUUUGCUACAUCCUGUUUUGAUCAGCAGUGUCAUGAAAACAAGUCCUGUUCAUCUCCUACCUCUCCUUGCCCUUUCCACUUUUCUGCACACAGCAACUUUCACCUGCGCACCCAGGAAUCCACACUUUAAGUCUUAACAACCUGAGGUGUUGUUGAGAAAAAACUACAAACAGUGGUGCGCUGGCAAAUCUUUAACAAUCACCUGGGGUGGGGUGGGGUGUGGAUAAACAAGCCUUAUUUGUAGCAUAUGGCCAAUUUCAAGCUGCCAAAGUGCUGUCACUGAACGUGAAGUAGUGGGAGCAGGGCAGCAGAGGGCCACCAAUCAGAGGCAUUUCCACCAAACAGAUGCAAUUGGCAUAAGUAACUGCAAGGGCACGGACAACCGCAAGGUCUGCUAAAAGGAUUAGGAAGUGAUGAGUUUUGAGUGUUUAUUACUUUUGGUUUUAGUGUAACUUAUUUGUAAGCUUACAUAAUUUAAUGUCUAAUAAGGGCAAUGUUUAACAAUCACUCAUGAAAUUCCUGAAAAUUGAACUGAUACGGUUUGGCUGUGUCCAAACCAAAUCUCAUCUCAAAUUGUAAUCUGAAUUAUAAUCUCCACGUGUUGGGGAGGUAUCUGGUGGGAGGUGAUUGGAUCGGGGAGGGGGGGAUUCCCCCACGAUGUUCUCAUGAUUGUGAAUGAGUUCUCACGAGAUCUGUUGGCUUUAUAAGUGGUGGUUUCCCCUGUUCUCGCUCUUUCCUGCUGCCUUGUGAGGAAGGUACUUGCUUCUCCUUUGCCUUGUGCCGUGAUUGUAAGUUUCCUGAGGCCUCCCCAACCAUGCAGAACUGUGAGUCAAUUAAACCUCUUUUCUUUAAAAAUUACCCAGUCUUGAACAGUUCUUUAUAGCAGUGUGAAAACGGACUAAUACGUGAAUACUCAGCUCUCCUGAGCUUAUGCGAGUCAGCCCCAAGACAACAUUGGCUAUAAAGGAAUGAAGCCAGCUUCUCGGUGUAGCAACCCGCCUUCCUAGUUUAUAAACUUGUCCUGAUUCUUCUGCAUACUCUUUGGUGGAAACAUAAAAUAUGAAUAUAGUGGAAAAGAGGGGCAAAAGAUAAAUGAGUUAUUCUGGAGAUAAACUUUCUGUGUAGUGGAAGUCUUAGCUCUGUAAGCUCCGAAGCUAUGAUGGUUUUAACUUUUAUUGAUGAACUUUGAAAAGAGUUGUGUUGCAUUCUUUCCUACCUCAUUACACGUGAGACAUUAUGGCUUAUUACUUUUUUAUGAAGAACCCAGGACAUGUUGAAGUGUGCAAAUCUAUUUUCCCUUGGAAUACAUGACCUCAAACUGCUAGGCUGUUGGGGCCUUUGGACUUGCUUUUUAGAGUUUUGCUUUUUAGAGUUUUUUUUCUUGCUCACUUUCCAGAAGCUCUGACUUCUUUUUACUGUCAGUGUGUCUGCCUCUAUCUUUUCCCUCCUCUUUCUAAUUGACUAGAGAACUAGACUUAUUAGAAUCAUUUAAAAAUGUCAGUAAUCUGUUGCAAUACAGGCCUAUUGAGAAAAACAUGUAAAUUUUAGUGCAUGGAUCUUGCGAUAUUUAUUUUGGAUGCUCAGAUACCUUUUGCAAUAACUUCUGGUUUUUGUAGAAUUUCUGGAGAGGUGAUAUUACUAGAUUACUGUGUUUCAGAUCAGUGAGUAUUGCUACAGUAAUGUUGUUAUAUAUAAUUAUAUACUAUAUCACCAUGCAUGAAUUCCAUUAUAAGAGGAAAAUUCAUCUCUGGGCCAGGAAAUAUGUCAUGUAAAAAGUAGAGCAGUCCUGGACUGUAUUUUGAGGAACCCAGUAACACUACUGGAACAUGAAGUGGUCCAUAUGGUGAACUUUGCAAAAUACAGUAAGACUUAAAUGGUCAAGUUUGGGGCAUGCCUCCUUGCUCUAAAAAUGGUGGUGCUUCGUCUCCUUAAACACAGACACAGGCAAUGGAUGGGGAAGGGAGAUCCAGUGAUUGAGAGUUUUCCCCUGCUGGAGGCAGGGAGGUCCCUCCACACAUCUGCCCAUCCUGGGAGUGCUGCUUGCUGGGGCUGAGAAAGGAAGUAGAUUGCACCUGGCAACCUGGCUCUGCCCUUCUCUGUGACAUUGGGACCACCAGAAAGGUUCUUGGUAUGAUUUGGAUUUGUGUCCCUGCCCAUAUUGAAUUGUAAUCCCCAGUGUUGGAGGAGGGGACUUGUGGGAGUUGAUUAGAUCAUGUGGGGUGGAUUUCCGCCUUGCUGUUCUUGUGAUAGUGAGUGACUUCUCAUAGAUCUGGUUGUUUGAAAGUGCGUAGCACCUCCCCUUUCUCUCUCUUCCUCCUGCUCCAGCCAUGUUAGACUUGCCUGCUUCCCUUUCACCUCCCACCAUGAUUGAAAGUUUCCUGAGGCCGCCUCCCCAAGCCAUGCAGCCUUGCAGAACUGUACAGCCUUGCAGAACUGUACAGCCUGCAGAACUGUGAGCCAAUUAAAC
rnacentral:lncRNA from 1 species